rnacentral:rRNA from 1 species
CAAACGACUCUCGGCAACGGAUAUCUCGGCUCUCGCAUCGAUGAAGAACGUAGCGAAAUGCGAUACUUGGUGUGAAUUGCAGAAUCCCGUGAACCAUCGAGUCUUUGAACGCAAGUUGCGCCCGAAGCCGCCAGGCCGAGGGCACGUCUGCCUGGGCGUCACGC